AUCUAUGGCCAUACCACCUUGAAUACACCUGGAUCUUAGAAGCUAAGCAGGGUUGGCCUUGGUUAGCAGUUGGAUAGGAGACAGAAGAUUGAAUACAAAUACAGUGCCAAAAAAU
ensembl:rRNA 5S_rRNA 5S ribosomal RNA